UAUGCAUCUUUGGAAGUCCAUUUUAGAAAUUUCACCAAUGCUUUGGCAUUUCAGUAUUAAACUUCCAUAAAAGAUAGAUAUGUUUAAUUUUACUGUAUGACAAAGAAUAAUAUUUAAAGGUGUUUUUAAUUGUUUUUUUUUUGUAAUGAAGCAGAGGAAAUGGAGAGAGAAGAGAAAGGAGAGAAAAUUAAGAAAGUAAAAAUCAAGUUUCUUCUGAAAUAAAGCAAAUCCCACAUCCACUGAAGAUGAUAUGUGGAAGUGUGACUUUGAGGGGAAAAAUGAUCAGGAGAUUAAGUGAUAAAAUGACAAUGAAGAUGAGGGAAGAGCAUCAGAUUCAUAUCAAAUAGACCCUUCUUCUGAAUCAAUCAUUUUUAAAUUAAAAAAAAAGUUGUAUCGAUAAAGUCCAUACAAAUUUCAGAAGACUAUUUUGUAUUACUUUACCAUAUUGAAAUGUCAUGUAUAUUUUGGUUAAAAUAAGUGGCUUAGAAAAUGUUUUUGUAUCUUUGUUAUGUGUUGUAUUAUGAUUUGCCCUGCAAACACCAGUGGGCAUGUAUGGUCUCAAUUAUGACUUUUAUUCUUUGAAUACUACAUUGAAAACAGCCAAAGCAAAUGCAAGGGUUAAGAGAUCAGGUUUUCUAGCCAGAGAGAUUGUCAUUGGACUUCCUAGCUGCAAAACCACAGUCAAGUUACUUAUCCAUUGACUCAGUUAACUCAUUUAUAAAAGGGAUUGAAAAUAACACCCAAUCCAUAGGCAGAUAGACAGGAAUAAAUGAGAUGAUAUAUGUGCAGAGUUGAUAACAAACACAUGUUAAUAAAUAUAAGCUGCUACAUUAACCAUAAUCAAACAAGGAGUAUUUUUAAAGAUAGUUUGCACCCUUCUUUUAUGGCACUAUCCUUAUCUCAAACUAUUAACAUUUGCCUUGUAGUCUGAAACCACAUCUAGAGGUGUUGCAAGCAUUCAUGAUGAACAGUGUUGAAAAGAUACAAGUUACAGGUGAAUAAAAUGCUAAAAUGUAGACAUACUAUCUAAAAUUUUAGAAAAUAUGUGCAGAAAGAAAUACACGCACACACACACAUACAUGUCUGUAAGUAAGAUAUCUAUUUUUUUUCCACCAAUAAAGACAUCAAUAAAAACCUGCAAAAUUGAAGAUGGUUUCAACCCUUUAAUCUAAUCUUAACUUUCCCCUUAUUCUUUUGGAAAUACUCUCCACCUCUCCCCCUUUCUCUCCACCCUCAGAUUUCUUUUUUGCUAGCAAACCUUGCCUGCCAUCUUUGAACAAAGUGAUGUUCAUGGUUAGAUUACAGGCAGGGGCAGCCAACAGCAUUCUUUACAAAUACAGGCUGAGCACACUCUUUCCCCGGAAUGAUAAACCUAUCACCUCUCCCGCCCUCAGUUUGAAGCGGCAGCAGUAAUUCUGUUGGAUGCCAAAACUAAAAUCCAUGUGCCUGUGCCAUGCCCAGCUCUGAGCUGUGGCUGUAAUGAGAUUUGAAUGGGAAGCCCCGGACACAAUAAAUCUGCGCCAUAUGUGACCAUUUCCUGUGUCAGUUCCUUUCUCAUAACCAGUGGAGACUUUUUUCCCCUCUCAUGACCCCACACCAUGACUCUGAAAUCUUUCAUGGCUGCUUAUGGGCCUCAGGCUUUUUACAGCAGUUGUAUAAAUAAAUGAAUUUGACAGCAAACAUCAUAACAGUUAGCAGUAAUGUGUGUUUGCCACAAGUGCCUAUACUACUCACUGGAGAAAUGGCAGAGGAAACAGCUUGUUUUGUUACCUAAACAAAAGUAGUUUCGUUUGACAAGUGCUGAAAGAAUUAGUCAAAUAAACUUGAAAUCCACUAGGACUGUUUCUGCCAAUUCUCCCUGCCAGUGAAAUGUUCCCAGCUCCUCUGUGCCCAUGACUCACAAGAGAUAAAUUUCCCUCUUUUAUUCUGAGAUAAAGAUCUGGGCUGGGAAUACAAAACCUUUGCCUGAUAUUUUAUAUUAAUCGCCUUUGCAAGGCAAGACUGUCAUUUAGGGGAACUCAGGUACAGCAAAGAGUUUCCAAAGGAACUUGUGGCAGACAGACCAAGGAAGAUAGUUCAGGUAGGUAGGAGGGGAGGUGACAGUAAUGACCCACCCCACUGAUUACCUGUUGAAAGCAAAUUGGAGGUUAUGAGGGUUUCCUUUUCCCUCACAUUUCCUACAUUCAAGAAACAAAAAUCUCUACACCAGAAAGUUGCUAAAAGAAAGCAACUUCAUUUUCCCUGUAUCUCCACAGUCCCAGGAAAAUGAAGUUGCCUAUACUGGGGGAAUUUGUGGUCAAUUUAGAUAAGCACAAAAAAGCAUAGAUUUUUCUCAGUCAUAUGGAUUGGUUGUCUAUAAGUCCUUAAAUUUUUCUACUCCUCUAUGGGAAUUUCAAUAACUUCUCCAUUGUUCCAGCUGUGAAAGAAAGAUGUUAUAGCUUAGUGAUUAUUGCUAUGGACUCUAGUCCCAACUGCUUAGGUUCAAAUCCCAGGUCUGCUACUGACUCUCUGUGUGUUUUCAGGCAAGUAACUUACAUUCCCCCUGUGCUUCAGUUUUCUCUUUUGCAAAGUAGGAUGAAAAAUGGUAUGGUAUCAAGCUCAUAAGGUGGCUGUGUCAAGUGUAUUUUAAAGGGCUCAGGACACAAAGGAUAAAUGAGGACAUUAUGCUAAGUGAAACAAGCUGGUUUAAAAAAAUAAAUACUGCAUGAUAAUACUUAUAUUUGUAAUAGUCAAACUCAUAGAAACAGAGAAUAGAAUGGUGGUUGCCAGAGGCUAGAGAAAAAAGGCUCAGAACAGUGGCUGAGAAAUAAUAAGUGUUGUCGUUGUUAUUAUUAUUCCAAACAAAGAAACUUGGAUAAUGGUCUGUUUAAAAACACUAGAGUUCUUCCCUAGGAUAGCUUGAUGUUGGCAGCUGAUCUGGUAAAUAAAAUUAAAAAUGUUGGUGAGAAAAACCAUAAGAGCACCUUCACUGAAGUCAAUUACAAUUAGUUGCAAAAUAUAGUAUAUCACUAUUUAAAUAAAAAUAUCAUCUGGACCUUGAAAAUAUUUUUUACAUGUAGGUUAUUUUCAUUCUUUUUUAAAGUAGUACUCUUUGUCAUGGUCAAGUAACUGUUACCUCUAGAAUCUUCUUAUACUCAACAAAAGUAUCACUGAUUAGGGGAAUAAAAGUUGAGAGUUGUUGCCAACUAACAGAUCUUAGGCAGAAUCUACAUUCUUCUCUCUGUUUCUAUCUUUUUUAAAUUUAUAUAUUAAAAUGGCUCAAUAAAGUGUUUUGCUUAUGUGAUUAUAUGCAAGAAAGCACCUUAAUAUUUUAGAAGAUAUAGAUUAUAAUCAAUAUAAUAGAAAUAUUUCAGUAUAGAGAGAGCCUACUACCUACACAAUAAAUUCCUAAUGUCUCUGUCUUAACUGACUGACAAAUCCAUUUAAAUAUUCAUUUUUCCAUAUCUAGUCAACUAUUUCUAUGGAGAAAGUCAGAAACAUUAUUAAAUGGAACUGUUUAAAAAUAAACAGACUCUUUAAGCAUUGCUCUUAGAGCAGUGCCUAAAAAUGGAAAGAAGUGUGUCAGCUGAAGGUAAGGAACCAUGUGACUUUAUAAAACAAUGAUGAGCCAGGAGCAGGCAAAGUAGGUUUUGGUUUUGAUUUGCCAGGGUGGGUUUUGCUAGAAAACCAAAUACAUAAAGUGACAUCAUCCUAUGGUAAAACAGCUUUAAUUGAGACUCCUUUACAGUAAAAUAAAUUGAAAAUUUCAUCUUACCAUUGAUUCCUGUGUACAGGCCACAAUACUACAUCUAGGAAACACCUCUGAAACUGGUCUAUGAGAGAAUAACUUUGUGCUCUAGGAGAUUUACUGUUGAGGAAUGUCAUCUGACAAAAUGUUUCCCUUGCUACAUCUAAAUCCUUUUCCAAGAUCUGCUCCUAGGAUGCAUAUUCUGAUUC